AAAUAACUAAAAAGCGUGAUAUAUAAAGUCCAUUAUAAAGCUUAAUAUUUAAAAAUCCAUCUUUGGAGGUUGCAUGAACAUUUUUAAUUUUACUAAUAACCACGGUGGCCAUCUGUGUCAUGACAGCAAAUUUAAGUUAGAGCCGGGAUAUAGAGGUUUCCGUAAACAUCCAUACAACCAAUAUUCAUAUCGCCAUGACCAAAAAUGGACACGGUGGUUAAACAAAGUAAAAUAAAAAUGGUCAAGCAAUCACCUUCACAAUUUUUGGACCACUCAAGAGGCACUGACCCAUAACAGAUAAAAUCUGUGUCCACAAGUAUCCAUGCCCUAAUAUAAACAAACAUACUCCAGACAUGAAAUAUGGGGAAAAUGAAGUUUAUUUUAGCUGUAAGGACUAUUAAAGACUGAACUGUAGAUGCAGAUCUCACAACCCUGAGCUGCAAUCCAUUUCACUCUACAGCAGACUUUUCUAUUCACAGCUGUCUGGUUUCAGCAGUGGCCCGCACUUCAAUCAACUCAGGGCUUACAAAAAUGGAAAAACACAUUUUAAAGAACCUUCAAAGGUCACACGUAUUCUUACAUUGCUCAAGGUGUAGUAAACCCACAAUUCUAGCGCUACAUUUUAAUGCUUAAAUAACUGACAUGAACAUCCUAGAAAUUUAUAAACCAGUACCACAAAGAAAAAAGUCAUUCACGACACAAGAAGUUUCAUGCAUAGAUAAAAUGCCACUGAACACAUUCAGGAAGAGAAAGCUAUUCUUGCAAGCGAGAGACAUGCUUGUGCAGUAAAGCAUUGGAUAUUAAGCUGUCAGUAUGCACUUAUGCAAAAUGACUUCCAAUUUAUUUACACAUAAUUCCCUGUGAACUGGCCAAAGUACCAGAUAUCGUGAGGCACAAAAGAUAUAAUCAACUGAAACAGAAAUCAAUCAAGGAAGACUGACAACACAUCUGAAAUCAAUCUAGAUAUGCAGUUAAUGCUGUAAUGAAGUAUACAACAAACAGAAUGGUUCUAAUGACGUCACCCAAAAUAUAAAGGAAGGCAGAUUUGUAGCAUUUCAUGAACAGGUUUAGUAAAUUAAAAUAAGUAUGGAACAACGUAAUGCACAAUGCACGCUGUAUGCAGAAAGUGAUUUAAAAAUCAUUCGCGUCCAGUUCCUUUAUAAUUGCACUCAAAAAAAACAAAACAAGUUUGCCUGUGAUUGGACUAAUGGACUAAUUAAGGAUGGGCGAUAUAAUGGACUCAGCCCAUUAAAUGGAAGGGCACAUAUGAAAAGUCAGAUACAAACAAUCCAAAGACGCUGUUAAAGGCCACAUUGAGCUAUGAAUUCAAUAAAGUGACACAUGCAGAUGUGCAGUACAUACAGCGCGGCGUCGCAAAGCUAUUAAUCACCAUAUAAAAGUAAUGUUUCGUUACAAACAACUUGUCGUUGAACUGGUUCAGCCUUCAGAAUCUCACUGAAAUUCCCUGACAAUCAAUGAUUGCUGGGGUGCUCAGUUUUCUGUACGUGUUUCGUCAGGUUUGUAGAUGGCAGAUGUUGUUUUAUCGCCGUGGCUGUAGAGUCUAGUGUUUAACUCGUCCACUUCUCCUGCUAGUGUGCUACGUAAAAAUAGUUUUGGGGAAAAUUAAAAGUACAUUUUAAAGUGAGCAAAAAACUUCCACUGGUGGUGAGAAAGAGGUGCUGGUACAUUUAGGGUGCUCUUCAAUCACUCGAGGGGUCGAAUCCUCAGUGGAAGAUUUGGGUGCUGGACGAUCUGCAUGUCAGCAACCUGUGACAGAAACACAGAAGUGCUUAAUCACUGCAGUAUGAGAAAAGCUUGAUAUUUGUGUGUUCUACUUGAAACAGUUCAUCCAAAAAUGACAAUUCUGACAUAAUUCACUCACCCUUAUAUUGAGCUAUGCUGGAGAGAAUGGAUUAAAGUCAAUAUUGAUUCAAAUCUUGGACAGUUUGUCACAAAGUUAUUGUAUAACUUCAUAAUAGUGCUGGGCAAUCAAUUAUAUCAUAUCGGGAUUGCAAUAAAAUGUAUGUGGAUAAUGAUGAUAAGCUCUGGACGUUUUUACUAGAUAUGGAUUAAUCUAACAGCCUAUAACGCAGUAGAAAUAAACGUGAAAUAAAAUCUGCUUCACAAACCCAAACAUGUGUGACAUGAACUUCAUC
ensembl:lncRNA